GCCCGUUUAGCUCAGUGGUAGAGCGCGCCACUUGUAAUGGUGAGGUCGGUUGUUCAAUCCAGCCAAUGGGCA
rfam:Phlebia centrifuga strain FBCC195 PHLCENscaffold_2124, whole genome shotgun sequence.